rnacentral:rRNA from 1 species
UACCAGCACCCCGAGUGGUCGGGACGAUUAUUGGGCCUAAAGCAUCCGUAGCCGGUCAUGCAAGUCCAUCCAGUUAAAUCCAGCCGCUCAACGGUUGGGCUGCCGGAGGAUACUACGUGGCUAGAGGCGGGAUGAGGCAAGCGGUACUCAGUGGGUAGGGGUUAAAAUCCUUUGAUCCAUUGAAGACCAAACCAGUCGGCGAAGGCGGCUUGCCAGAACGCGCUCGACGGUGAGGGAUGAAAGCUGGGGGAGCAAACCGG